UACGGGGGGGGGCAAGCGUUGUUCGGAAUUACUGGGCGUAAAGGGCUCGUAGGCGGCCAACUAAGUCAGACGUGAAAUCCCCCGGCUUAACCUGGGAACUGCGUCUGAUACUGGAAGGCUUGAGGAUGGGAGAGGGAUGUAGAAUUCCAGGUGUAGCGGUGAAAUGCGUAGAUAUCUGGAGGAAUACCGGUGGCGAAGGCGGCAUCCUGGACCAUUACUGACGCUGAGGCGCGAAAGCUAGGGGAGCAAACGGG
rnacentral:rRNA from 1 species